ACUCACAUGGCAUUUCCAACACAUAAUGGGACGGCGGGAAUGAAUCCAAGUAACUUGUUUCCCUAACCCUCCUCCCACCUCCACACCCACACACACUCUUUAUCCUCUCUUUCACUCUCGUCUUUCCUUCCUAUCCAAGUUUUCUCCACUAUAUAUACUAUUCCCAUUCCCAUUCUUCAUUGUAGCAACAUCUCGUCAUACUAAGUGCAGUACUGUUGUUUGCUUUCCGGAGUAGGUUUCUUGCGAGGCAAACAAGCUAGUGAGGUGAAGGAUCGAUUGUCACCAUGUCUGACUGGGGACCGGUGUUUAUUGCGGUGGUGCUGUUCGUGCUGUUGUCACCGGGUCUACUGUUCCAGGUGCCGGGGCGGCAUGGAUGUGUGGAGUUUGGGAGCUUUCACACCAGCGGCGCGGCCAUAAUGGUUCACUCCCUCCUCUACUUUGCUCUCAUUUGCGUCUUCUUGUUGGCCAUCAAGGUCCACUUUUACCUUGGUUAAUACGUACUGGUAAUGGCAGAUUGGGGACCGGUGGUGAUCGCGGUGGUGUUGUUUGUGCUGUUAAGUCCGGGGCUACUGUUUCAGCUGCCGGGGAAGAGCAGGGUGGUGGAGUUUGGCAACAUGCAGACCAGUGGACUAUCCAUCCUUGUCCACACCAUCAUCUUCUUUGGCCUCAUCACCAUCUUCCUCAUCGCCAUCGGCGUCCACAUCUACACCGGAUGACCACCAUCAUUAGCCAGCAACUGUCUCUCAGUUCAUUCUCUUAAGUAUGUUUUACUAUUGCUAUAAUUAACUUUAUAAAAAGGUUGCUACUUUUUCAACAGUUGACUGCAGCUGCUUAUUCAUCUAUAAGUUUAUUACCAGAGUAUAACGACUCUUCACUUCUCUAGCUCGUUUGAUUCAUAUCAUUUCAUUGGUGUGAUGUUGUCAGCCAUGUCCAUAUUCACGGUAGUUCCGUAGUCAGGAAAAUCAUGAAGUCUGGUAUUGUUGAGUGCAAAACUAAACAAGUUAAGUAGCAAUUGGUUUUGGACCUUAGCUUGUUAGUUGUUACUUCACACUUCACGCCUUUUGAUUCGAACCCUGGAAGAUUGCAAUACCUUUCUCUGUCAGGAAGUGCCAUUCCUCCUUCGGCAAGAUGGUUCUUGUUGCUUCUCCCUUUGUGACAUUGGGAUGGUCAUUGGCUGGCUUACACUUCGGUGCAACCGGUUUUUCACAUUGGAUUUCACGACUUGUUCUAAUUGGGAUUUUCAAUUACAUGUUAGCCAUAAGCAUCAAGUCAUAUGCUCAUAGCUGAAACCGAUUGCCAAUCG